rnacentral:pre_miRNA from 1 species
UUUCUACUCCCUCCGUCCGAAAAUACUUGUCAUCAAUAUGGAUAAAAAUAGAUGUAUCUAAAACUAAAAUAUGUCUAUAUACAUUUCCUUUUAUCCAUUUUGAUGACAAGUAUUUCCAGACGGAGGGAGUAUUUG